GAUGAACGCUGGCGGCGUGCCUAAUACAUGCAAGUCGAGCGAACAGACGAGGAGCUUGCUCCUCUGACGUUAGCGGCGGACGGGUGAGUAACACGUGGAUAACCUACCUAUAAGACUAGGAUAACUUCGGGAAACCGGAGCUAAUACCGGAUAACAUGUUGAACCGCAUGGUUCAACAGUGAAAGACGGUCUUGCUGUCACUUAUAGAUGGAUCCGCGCCGCAUUAGCUAGUUGGUAAGGUAACGGCUUACCAAGGCAACGAUGCGUAGCCGACCUGAGAGGGUGAUCGGCCACACUGGAACUGAGACACGGUCCAGACUCCUACGGGAGGCAGCAGUAGGGAAUCUUCCGCAAAGGGCGAAAGCCUGACGGAGCAACGCCGCGUGAGUGAAGAAGGUCUUCGGAUCGUAAAACUCUGUUAUUAGGGAAGAACAAAUGUGUAAGUAACUAUGCACGUCUUGACGGUACCUAAUCAGAAAGCCACGGCUAACUACGUG
rnacentral:rRNA from 1 species